CUUUUUAUCAGAUGUAUUUCCUUGUCCUCAGUAACAGUCAGACAGUUGGUGAGACAACCAGGACUCGACCGAGGUGUUCAACAAGUUCCUCCAUCAGAGAGAAAGAUAAAGAAAUAAGGAAGAAAUAGAAUAUAACAGAUAGAGAGACAGAGGGGGA